UACGUAGGGUCCGAGCGUUGUCCGGAAUUAUUGGGCGUAAAGAGCUCGUAGGCGGUCUGUCGCGUCGGCUGUGAAAUCCCGAGGCUCAACCUCGGGUCUGCAGUCGAUACGGGCAAACUUGAGUGUUGCAGGGGAGACUGGAAUUCCUGGUGUAGCGGUGAAAUGCGCAGAUAUCAGGAGGAACAUCGGUGGCGAAGGCGGGUCUCUGGGCAACAACUGACGCUGAGGAGCGAAAGCGUGGGGAGCGAACAGG
rnacentral:rRNA from 1 species